rnacentral:rRNA from 1 species
ACUCAAAUGAAUAGACGGGGACCCGCACAAGCAGUGGAGUAUGUUGUUUAAUUCGAUGCUACGCGAGAAACCUUACCGACCCUUGACAUGUCACACGCGAUUACCAGAGAUGGUUUUCUUCAAUUCGGUUGGUGUGAACACAGGUGCUGCAUGGCUGUCGUCAGCUCGUGUCGUGAGAUGUUAGGUUAAGUCCUGCAACGAGCGCAACCCACACUCUUUGUUGCCAGCGGGUAAUGCCGGGAACUCUAAGAGGACUGCCCGUGUUAAACGGGAGGAAGGUGUGGAUGAUGUCAAGUCAUCAUGGUCCUUACGGGUCGGGCUACAAACGUACUACAAUGGCGAUAACAGAGCGCAGCAAAGCCGCAAGGCCGAGCCAAUCGUGAAAAAUCGCCCCAGUUCAGAUUGUCCUCUGCAACUCGAGGGCAUGAAGUCGGAAUUGCUAGUAAUCGCGGAUCAGAAUGCCGCGGUGAAUACGUUCCCGGGUCUUGUACACACCGCCCGU